GUGAGUCAUCGAAUCUUUGAACGCACGUUGCACUGUCUGGAAUUCCGGGCAGUAUGUCUGUUUGAGUAUCAGAUACCUCUCCUCUCCUUCUCAACCUCACUUGGGGUUGAUGGGAUGAGGGAACUGGAGGGCGAUUGUUUGCAAAGACGAUCCCUUCUAAAAUUCAGAGGCCCUUGGCUGAGACAGAAUUGGAGGCUACGCGCCUUUGUCUGUCCUCAAAUUCACAAGGACCCUCCUUAAACAAACAAUGUUUUUUGAACUUUGAUCUCAAAUCAGGCAAGAUUACCCGCUGAACUUAAG
rnacentral:misc_RNA from 1 species